ACCCUGACCUUUUUUCAUGGUCGGUAACACGGAGGCACUCGAGGGAAUAUCACCCAGGCUUUCGUCUAUUUAUUCCAAGCAACUAACGAGUAGAAACACAAAAAACCAGACGAAAAAAAGUUUCACCGUGGAACAUUUUUGACGCGCGUCGAGAGCUGCCUCGGCACGAGAGGGGAAAAUUUUCGCGAAAAUCAAACGCGUCAUGUCGAACGGCCAAAUGCGUGGCGUGACUCUGUGAACGAAGCCUUUAAAAGGGCGACAGUCAGGGUGUAUUGCUACGAGUUUCUGUGCAGUGCUGUGAUAUACGCGACUUCACCAUGAGUUCGCCCUCAGGUGUUAUCUGCUGGUGUUUCCUCGCUCUAGCGGUUUGGCAUGUCAGCGCCAUCGAAAACCCCAACGCCAAGGACAAGACGGACGACAAGUACCUGUCGGACGCGGAGGCUAUACAGUACAUGAAAGACCACCCAGAGUACCGCCCAAACUACGACUUCGUCCCGAUGGAUUUGGCAGCCAGCACCUUGACGGGCGGCCGAGACUUUGAGAACUUGGACGACCGACGCCCCCAGGACAACAGACGCCCCUUCCAGGACGACCAACGCCCCCAGAGCCCCCUCAAACGACAGCAGUCCAUUAGUGCGGAUGAGAAGCGCGCCUUUCUCCGACGACAACAGUCCCGCGACGGACGCCCCAACAAGCUCCAGAAACAAAACUCCGGCUCCAAACCGGCCAACUCCCCGAUUAGAUCCGACUCGCCGAGACUCAGAGCCGCCGCCGGUCUCAACAAGUCUCCCAGCAUCAAGUCCGCGAGCCUCAGCAAGUCCAAAAGCCUCAAGAAGCCAGGAAACUCUCAAGGGCGCUCGCAAUCGCCGAGACGAGCUGCGGCGCCCGCAGCGUAGGCCGCCCGCCGGACCGCCUGCACUGAAAAAAAAAGUUCGGUAAAUCCGAACUAGUUAGGAUCGUAUGGAUUGCAUUUUGCAAGAAGGAACCAGGAGCAUUGCAAUGUCGCUAAGAUUGUGCAACUUCUUUUGUCUUGGAAGAAACCCCUGAGUAUCCAUUGACAGCUCCUAGUUUACUCACUAAAACCUGUAAAUUCAAGACAAAAAUAACCGUUGGAAUUUUAUAUUUUUUCAUGAUUUCAGUAAUUUAUUGCAAGGGAUGAAGUUGCGCAAUCUUAGCAUCACUGCAAUUCUUCUAGUUCCUUUUUGCAAAAUGCAAUCCAUAUGGAACCAGGUUUUGUUCGGUACACACAACCGAAUUAUUCGGUCUGUUCAUCCGAAUUGUUCGGUUUGUGCAACCGAACUAUAAUAAAUGCUUACAGUUCGGUUCAGUGGACCGAACAGUUCGGCUGAGCGAACCGAAUAAUUCGGUCGUGUGUACCGAACAAAAUCGAGGUUCCAUAUGAUCCUAACUAGUUCGGAUUUACCGAACUGUUUCUUUCUUUUCGAUCGUAGAGUGCAUGGGACCGUUUUAAUGGUCGUUCCUUUGGUAGAUUUUCCCCGUGGAGAAGCCCCGUCUAUUGUUUUAUCCAGUGGCGUGCCGUAAAUUGGGAUAUAUAGAUUGUUAUGCCGUUUAAAACUACGGAAAAGGAUCGAUAAACAGGGUGUUCGCAGCGAACACCUUAAUAAUCGAUUCUUUACCAUAGGUCUGAAUGGCAUAAAAAUCGAUACAUCGCAAUUCACCCCACGCCACUGGUUUGAUCGUGGUUAAGGGAUGUUAAAGGACGCCUUCGACGUAGCAUCAAAUAAAGGGAAAAUAUUACAAAACUUGGGUAAAAUUCAACAGUGCGACUUGGGAGAUGGAUUUCUGCCAAUAAUGACGAUGAUUGGCCUCUACACAAAAUAAGAAAGAAAAAAGUCUGUGGAUUUUGUUGAACUUUAACGUAGGUGCAAACAUGGCUUGAAAUUUUUUUCCGUUUAAUAAUAUCAGAUCAUGUUACCCCUUAGAGGUACCGUUGAAUAAUACUCAAUAUUUGUGAUAAUUAUGCUUUUUAUGAUGCGACAGUAGAGUAAUUUUCAAACCUCCCAUAAUAGCACUGUUAACCAUUAGGUCGCAUUUGAAAAAGAGCUAUUGAAGGAGCGACUGUUGAAACGGCUUUUAUAGUCGCGAUAAGGUUCAGUUACACGAUCAAAGUGAGCCAUCAAACUGAAGCUCUGAUUGGUGGAAAAAGACCUGAGGUGAGGAUGCGACCAAUGAGAGGCCCAAUUUGAUCGUGUAACAGGACCUUUUGGAAUGGGAGAUCUGUCUACACUUUUAAGCAUGUUCCAUCCUACAAAUCUUGAGACUUCCGUCGUCGCAAAGCACGAAUUUCGAUAACUACUACAUUUUGAAAUAAGGAACUAUUUUUUCUGGCUCAUCAAUUGAAGCACCUAUCCACAUAUGGAAACUUGGGGCGCAUGUGUUGUUUCAAAAAUAAGCCAAAAAUAGUGGUUCCUUAUUGCAGAACUUGGUCUGUACACUGGAAAAAAGUCUCUUGAGUCCUCAGUCCACAUUCUAAAAAAACAUCGGUCACAAUUCAGAUGAGCCAGAAUCUAUAGUUCCAAAUUGCAAAAUGCAGUCCAAAUAAUAUUCGAAUCCGUACACAACGCCGAGCGCACUCAAGGCUUGGAUUCCAUGAGACAAACCCCAAAUCUUGUUGGCCAGUAAUCGUUGGCAUUUUGAAAUAUGGAACUACAAUUUCUGCUACAUGCACAAAAGUGCCUAUCUGCAUCGGAAAACCAUUAGCACGUAUGCUGUAUUUAUAAUAAGCUAGAAAUUGUAGUUCCUAGUUGCAAAAUGUGGUCCAGUUUACGGACGGCUGAAAGUUGCGGCAAGAAUGUUAACUUCGCUAUUUGUUCGCUGAUCAAUUGUCCGCGCCAUUGAGGGACUAAUGAUGGCUCGAGCCUGCUGUAGAAAAAAGUUGCGUAAAGCUCGAGUUAAGAAUAUGAGUUUUCCAUUUUAAAGUCAUUAUUUGAAAUUAGGUUUCGCGACUUUGGGUCGACGGUAGACCCAAAAGAUUUGGACUGAGACCAGAACUUUGGAGCUCCUUUCCUUACGUGGCGAUUCUUAAAUCUCAUGUACUUUACGACCACUACCUACGGCAAUACGAUUAACACACGGAGAAUUCCCGGGCACCAAUAGUGCUACGCAUAUACUGGAUUACGAUCGACUCCUAGCAUAGAACAUGCUUUGAUGCAUUUACCCUUGUCUGCCAGCCAGGCAAUUUUUUUCUAUUAACAUCGAUUAUGUUUGGAUUCAUUCACCCUUGUCUGUAAGAAAAACACUUUUUUAUGAAUACAGUCGAAUUUCCGCGAGUGGGUUCGGAUUAGGUCUCAACCUCGACUAUUACCAACCUCCGUUAAAACACAUAUUCAAUUUUUGGCGUGUUCUGAGUACUUCGUGGUUUCCAACCGUGCCUAAAAGUGAACUGGAUUCACUAGCGGAAAUUUGACUUGGUCAACAGAGGCUUCUUGUGGACCCGUUUUUGAAAUACAUUGGUUUAUCGCACAAUGAAACUUUUUGAGUUAUUUACACUGUUGUUUCCUUGAAGAUAAA
rnacentral:lncRNA from 1 species